rnacentral:rRNA from 1 species
GACGAACGCUGGCGGCGUGCUUAACACAUGCAAGUCGAACGGAAAGGCCCUGCUUUUGUGGGGUGCUCGAGUGGCGAACGGGUGAGUAACACGUGAGUAACCUGCCCUUGCCUUUGGGAUAACUUCAGGAAACUGGGGCUAAUACCGGAUAGGAGCUCCUGCUGCAUGGUGGGGGUUGGAAAGUUUCGGCGGUUGGGGAUGGACUCGCGGCUUAUCAGCUUGUUGGUGGGGUAGUGGCUUACCAAGGCUUUGAAGGGUAGCCGGCCUGCGAGGGUGACCGGCCAAAUUGGGACUGAGAUACGGCCCAGACUCCUACGGGAGGCAGCAGUGGGGAAUAUUGCACAAUGGGCGGAAGCCUGAUGCAGCAACGCCGCGUGCGGGAUGACGGCCUUCGGGUUGUAAACCGCUUUCGCCUGUGACGAAGCGUGAGUGACGGUAAUGGGUAAAGAAGCACCGGCUAACUACGUG